rnacentral:rRNA from 1 species
AUACGGAGGGUGCAAGCGUUGUCCGGAUUUAUUGGGUUUAAAGGGUGCGUAGGCGGCCCGUUAAGUCAGUGGUGAAAGGUAUCAGCUCAACUGAUGAAGUGCCAUUGAAACUAACGGGCUUGAGUACAGACGAGGUAGGCGGAAUUUAUGGUGUAGCGGUGAAAUGCAUAGAUACCAUAAAGAACACCGAUAGCGAAGGCAGCUUACUAGACUGUCACUGACGCUGAGGCACGAAAGCGUAGGUAGCAAACAGGAUUAGAAACCCCAGUAGUCC